rnacentral:tRNA from 1 species
CUCCGCUUGGUGUAGUUGGUUGAUCACGUUCGACUGUAAUAUCAAAUAAAUUGUUAUCGAAAGGUCGCUAGUUCGAUUCUGGCAGCGGAGA